GACCGUGUAGCUCAGGGGUAAGAGUUCGAAGUUCCUACCUGAAUGUUUGCGGUUCAAUUCCUGGCACGGUCA
rnacentral:tRNA from 1 species